rnacentral:rRNA from 1 species
UACGGAGGGUCCAAGCGUUAUCCGGAAUCAUUGGGUUUAAAGGGUCCGUAGGCGGUUUUAUAAGUCAGUGGUGAAAGCCCAUCGCUCAACGGUGGAACGGCCAUUGAUACUGCAAGACUUGAAUUGUUGGGAAGUAACUAGAAUAUGUAGUGUAGCGGUGAAAUGCUUAGAGAUUACAUGGAAUACCAAUUGCGAAGGCAGGUUACUACCAAUAUAUUGACGCUGAUGGACGAAAGCGUGGGGAGCGAACAGG